rnacentral:rRNA from 1 species
AUUGAACGCUGGCGGCAGGCCUAACACAUGCAAGUCGAGCGGAGCGGCGGACGGGUGAGUAAUGUCUGGGAAUCUGCCUGGUAGUGGGGGAUUACGUCCGGAAACGGGCGCUAAUACCGCAUACUAUCAGAUGAGCCUAGGUCGGAUUAGCUAGUUGGUGGGGUAAAGGCCAAGCAAGGCGACGAUCUGUAACUGGUCUGAGAGGAUGAUCAGUCACACUGGAACUGAGACACGGUCCAGACUCCUACGGGAGGCAGCAGUGGGGAAUAUUGGACAAUGGGCGAAAGCCUGAUGCAGCCAUUCCGCGUGUGUGAAGAAGGUCUUCGGAUUGUAAAGCACUUUAAGUUGGGAGGCGUUACCAACAGAAUAAGCACCGGCUAACUUCGUGCCAGCAGCCGCGGUAAUAC